rnacentral:lncRNA from 1 species
GAAUGCUAGGUUUUUUUGUUAUGGAUGAUUUUUGAAUUUAAGAUUAUUAAAAAAAUUAUGGGUUUUCUAUGAUUUAUGGAUUCUUCUUGUUCUAGUAUGACUCGGUAUCUGGGUUUUAUUUAUUCAUCUAUAGAUCUGAAUUCAGUAUGAUUCGGUAUACUAACUCAGUCAAAUUCGGUAUAAUUAACCAAGUCGAACUCGGUAUAACUCAUAAUAACUAGUAUAAUUCGGUACACUAAUUCAGUAGUACUUAGUGUGACACUGUAUAUAACUCAGUAAAACUAUAUCAGUAUAACAUAGUUCGAUCAGUUGUACGUCGAUAAUUAAAAUUUGAAUUUUUAAAAAAUCCAAAAUUUUGAAAAUUUAAAAAUUCAAAAUUUUUUGAUCUGUUCAAAAUAAUUCCAAAAAUACAAAAAGGUAAAACUGGAUAUUCAUAUUUCAUUAAAGGGAAAGAGGCAUAUGCGAUUAGAUAGUACCAUAGACAGUUGUUCCUUGAGAUGCGGAGGAGGCAGAGAAGAUAAUGAUUCAAUAUUUUAGUUUUUUUUUUUCAAUAUUUUUAAUAUUUAGUAAUAUGUCUUUAUGUUUUUUCUCUUGCAUAUGUUUAACGUGAUUUUUUUUAACCAUAGUCUUUUAAAAUAUUGUUUUAUAACGUUGUAAUAUAUUCUUUAAAAAUAGAUAAUAAUAUAAAAUAUGUGUAUUAAUUAAGUAACUUUUUAAAUUUUAAUGAUAAUGUGGAUAUCUAAGAUGAAGUUAAAGUGGUGGAAGUACCAUGGUUUAGAUUUAAAUGCUUUUAUAUUAGGCUUGGGUUAUAUUCUCAGAGGAAACGCAAUUUUUUGCAGAUUAUAGGAUGCAUGUUUUUUGGAAGUUCCAAUGUGUUGUAGGCAGAGCAGUUUGUUGUGGUCGUGUGCUGUGAAAAAACAUGUCCAUUGAGGAUGUCAUAUAUUCUGAACCGUUCGUUGAUCCAAGUGUUAUGAAGAGAAUUACAUCGUAGAAUCGUUGUUCGUGAAAUUGUUCAUCGUGUUCGAAUAUGGUGCAUGUAGUUGAUCAUCAUACGUAAUAGAAUAAAUAUUAUACGAUGAUGUAAUCGAUAAUUCCACCGGGUAUAAAGAAAUGACGAAGAUAAAAUCUCUAAUUAUUUAUAUGAUGAUUCCUCGUGGAUAAAUUUAUAUUAGUCAAGUUUUUGUACUUUUUAUGUUUGUUGGACGAAGUUUUUUCGUAACAUUUGUUGUCUGAAGUUGACUUGAUUAUUUAUCCGAGAUAACUAAUGUGAUGCGCACAUGAUGAUAGAAAGAUAAUCAAUGAGAUGAGCACAUGAUGAUAGAACCAUUAUUACACUGAUACGCAAAUCUUUUGCUUCAAACUUAUAAACACAUAAUAUAUUAUCAUAGAUGCAUAAUAUUUAUUAAAUCUGUAUAAGAUCUUUUUUAAACAACAUAUCAUGCCAAAACAAUAACAAGAGUUGGUAAGUCAAACAAAUGUGACUAUAUUAAACUGAUUUAUUUGGUUGCAUAUGAUUCAACCUAGCUAUAUUAUUGGCUUAUUCCUCAAGUUGGUACAAUGGUAUUAUUUGAUUUCAAAUUUUAUUGUUCAGAACACAUAAUUGUUGUUUAACAUUAAUUUAGCAGUCAACAAUAGUCACAAAGACAAACGAAGAAAAUAAUAUUGUAAAAAAAAAAAACUCGAGGAUGUGUGCCGUAACUGAC